CAGGAGUGGCUCACCCUACAUCGAAUAUCUGCCUUGCCUUUUACCAGACAGAUCCGUGGGAUGGCCAAAAAACUCCAUUACCCAAUCUUUGGAAACCCAACGAACCAAGUUCGAUU
rnacentral:snRNA from 1 species